rnacentral:rRNA from 1 species
CAAGGGACCUGCUUAACAUGACGAAGUCUGAACGCUGAAGCCCAGCUUGCUGGGUGGAUGAGUGGCGAACGGGUGAGUAACACGUGGGUAAUCUGCCCUGUACUCUGGGAUAAGCCUGGGAAACUGGGUCUAAUACCGGAUAGGACACACUACCGCAUGGUGGUGUGUGGAAAGUUCCGGCGGUACAGGUUGAGCCCGCGGCCUAUCAGCUUGUUGGUGGGGUGAUGGCCUACCAAGGCGACGACGGGUAGCCGGCCUGAGAGGGUGACCGGCCACACUGGGACUGAGACACGGCCCAGACUCCUACGGGAGGCAGCAGUGGGGAAUAUUGCACAAUGGGCGCAAGCCUGAUGCAGCGACGCCGCGUGGGGGAUGACGGCCUUCGGGUUGUAAACCCCUUUCGCCCGGGACGAAGCGCAAGUGACGGUACCGGGAGAAGAAGCACCGGCCAACUACGUGCCAGCAGCCGCGGUAAUACGUAGGGUGCAAGCGUUGUCCGGAAUUAUUGGGCGUAAAGAGCUCGUAGGCGGUGUGUCACGUCUGCCGUGAAAACCUGCGGCUUAACCGUGGGCGUGCGGUGGAUACGGGCAUCACUUGAGUUCGGUAGGGGAGACUGGAAUUCCUGGUGUAGCGGUGGAAUGCGCAGAUAUCAGGAGGAACACCGGUGGCGAAGGCGGGUCUCUGGGCCGAAACUGACGCUGAGGAGCGAAAGCGUGGGGAGCGAACAGGAUUAGAUACCCUGGUAGUCCACGCCGUUAAACGUUNNGCGCUAGGUGUGCGGUGCUGUUCACUUGUCCCGUGCCUUAU